UCCGGUGACGAUGCGCCUAGGGGACACACCCGUUCCCGUUCCGAACACGACGGUUAAGACCUAGGCGGUCGAUGGUACUUGGUGGGCAGCUGCCUGGGAGAGUAGAUGGUCGCCGGAA
rnacentral:rRNA from 1 species